ACUACAAAAAAGCGCGUAUUUACCGGCGAAAACUACCGGCGGCGAUUUUGCCGUCGGUAGAUAACGGCGGCAAGGCGGCGGCAUUGCAGGCGACCCGAAAUUUCGAAAUUACCGGCCAGUUACCGACGGCAAACUCGCCGCCGGUAUGUAACGGCGGCGUCGCCGCCGUUAAUGUUAAAAUACGCAUUAUUUAAUUAAAUUUAUAGACUUAGCGGCGGCAAAAUCCCCGCCGCUAGAUAGCGGCGGCAUUUGCCGUCGGUAACCUUUAAAAUAUAGGGCAGCGGGUUUGCCCAUUUUUUCAGUAUCUGCGCCGCAACCAACCCCCCCACGCGAACACAAACUACCCCCCCAGCCCCUCCCCUGCUGCUGCUGCCCUUCCUUCGCCGCCGCCUCCGCCGCCGCCGACCGCCGCCGCCGACCGCCGCCGACGC
rnacentral:lncRNA from 1 species